UGUUUCGGCUAGGGGGCCAUCCCGGCUUACCAACCCGAUGCAAACUGCGAAUACCGGAGAAUGUUAUCACGGGAGACACACGGCGGGUGCUAACGUCCGUCGUGAAGAGGGAAACAACCCAGACCGCCAGCUAAGGUCCCAAAGUCAUGGUUAAGUGGGAAACGAUGUGGGAAGGCCCAGACAGCCAGGAUGUUGGCUUAGAAGCAGCCAUCAUUUAAAGAAAGCGUAAUAGCUCACUGGUCGAGUCGGCCUGCGCGGAAGAUGUAACGGGGCUAAACCAUGCACCGAAGCUGCGGCAGCGACACUGUGUGUUGUUGGGUAGGGGAGCGUUCUGUAAGCCUGCGAAGGUGUCCCGUG
rnacentral:rRNA from 2 species